AGAUUGAACGCUGGCGGCAGGCCUAACACAUGCAAGUCGAGCGGUAGAGAGGUGCUUGCACCUCUUGAGAGCGGCGGACGGGUGAGUAAUGCCUAGGAAUCUGCCUAGUGGUGGGGGAUAACGUUCGGAAACGGACGCUAAUACCGCAUACGUCCUACGGGAGAAAGCGGGGGACCUUCGGGCCUCGCGCCAUUAGAUGAGCCUAGGUCGGAUUAGCUAGUUGGUGAGGUAAUGGCUCACCAAGGCGACGAUCCCGUAACUGGUCUGGGAGGAUGAUCAGUCACACUGGAACUGAGACACGG
rnacentral:rRNA from 1 species